GUUUUAAACUUGAUCUCUGAACUUCAGGUGAGUUCAUGUGUUGACUUGUUCAUUUACCGAUGCU
rfam:Lupinus angustifolius cultivar Tanjil contig_18101, whole genome shotgun sequence.